rnacentral:rRNA from 1 species
CGGAGGAUCCAAGCGUUAUCCGGAUUUAUUGGGUUUAAAGGGUGCGUAGGCGGCGUGCUAAGUCAGGGGUGAAAGACGGUGGCUCAACCAUCGCAGUGCCUUUGAUACUGGUGCGCUUGAAUAUACAUGAGGUAGGCGGAAUGAGACAAGUAGCGGUGAAAUGCAUAGAUAUGUCUCAGAACACCGAUUGCGAAGGCAGCUUACUAAGGUAUUAUUGACGCUGAUGCACGAAAGCGUGGGAUCAAACAGGAUU